rnacentral:miRNA from 1 species
ACUUGUUCUCUCUGUAUUGUGUG